rnacentral:rRNA from 1 species
UACGUAGGGUGCAAGCGUUGUCCGGAAUUAUUGGGCGUAAAGGGCGCGUAGGCGGUUUGUACAGUCAGACGUGAAAUUCCUGGGCUCAACCUGGGGGCUGCGUUUGAUACGUGCAGACUUGAGUUCGGAAGAGGGUCGUGGAAUUCCCAGUGUAGAGGUGAAAUUCGUAGAUAUUGGGAAGAACACCGGUGGCGAAGGCGGCGACCUGGUCCGAUACUGACGCUGAGGCGCGAAAGCGUGGGGAGCAAACAGG